AGUGAACGCUGGCGGUAGGCCUAACACAUGCAAGUCGAACGGCAGCACAGUAAGAGCUUGCUCUUACGGGUGGCGAGUGGCGGACGGGUGAGGAAUACAUCGGAAUCUACUUUUUCGUGGGGGAUAACGUAGGGAAACUUACGCUAAUACCGCAUACGACCUACGGGUGAAAGCAGGGGAUCUUCGGACCUUGCGCGAUUGAAUGAGCCGAUGUCGGAUUAGCUAGUUGGCGGGGUAAAGGCCCACCAAGGCGACGAUCCGUAGCUGAUCUGAGAGGAUGAUCAGCCACACUGGAACUGAGACACGGUCCAGACUCCUACGGGAGGCAGCAGUAGGGAAUAUUGGGCAAUGGGCGCAAGCCUGAUCCAGCCAUACCGCGUGAGUGAAGAAGGCCUUCGGGUUGUAAAGCCCUUUUGUUGGGAAAGAAAAGCAGCAGGUUAAUACCCCGCUGUUCUGACGGUACCCAAAGAAUAAGCACCGGCUAACUUCGUG
rnacentral:rRNA from 1 species